AGACGUCUACAUUAGAUACCCGGGUAGUCCCAGCCGUAAACGAUGUGCGUUAGGUGUAUCGACGACCACGAGUUGUCGAGGUGCCGAAGGGAAACCGUGAAACGUACCGCCUGGGAAGUACGGUCGCAAGGCUGAAACUUAAAGGAAUUGCGGGGGAGCACCACAACAGGUGGAGCCUGCGGUUUAAUUGGACUCAACGCCGGACAUCUCACCGGAUAAGACAGCUGAAUGAUUGCCGGGCUGAAGACUCUGCAUGACUAGCUG
rnacentral:rRNA from 1 species